AGAGUUUGAUCCUGGCUCAGAUUGAACGCUGGCGGCAUGCCUUACACAUGCAAGUCGAACGGCAGCACGGGAGCAAUCCUGGUGGCGAGUGGCGAACGGGUGAGUAAUACAUCGGAACGUACCUGAUAGUGGGGGAUAGCCCGGCGAAAGCCGGAUUAAUACCGCAUACGACCUGAGGGUGAAAGCGGGGGAUCGCAAGACCUCGCGCUAUUGGAGCGGCCGAUGGCAGAUUAGGUAGUUGGUGGGGUAAAGGCCUACCAAGCCUACGAUCUGUAGCUGGUUUGAGAGGACGACCAGCCACACUGGGACUGAGACACGGCCCAGACUCCUACGGGAGGCAGCAGUGGGGAAUUUUGGACAAUGGGCGCAAGCCUGAUCCAGCCAUGCCGCGUGCGGGAAGAAGGCCUUCGGGUUGUAAACCGCUUUUGUCGGGAAGAAAUACUCUGGGCUAAACCCUGGGGUGAUGACGGUACCUGAA
rnacentral:rRNA from 1 species